CAUGUACUCCCUCCUCCGGAAAUACUUGUCCUAGGAAUGGAUGAAUCUAGACUUAUUUUAAUUAUAGAUACAUCAAAUAUAUCCAUUUUUAGGACAAGUAUUUCCGGACGGAGUGAGUA
rnacentral:pre_miRNA from 1 species